UCCUCCCGUCGCACCAGAGAAAAAGGGCCGAAAAAAAACCUACGAAAAAAACCCAGCGAUCGCUCGCUGCUCCAUCCCUCGCCCCCGCCGCUCGAGCGAGAACCACCGAGGCUCAACUCGACUCCCCUCGAUCUGUUUGCCCCAGCCGCCAUAGCAGAGCACUUCGCUGCCGCCAAGAUGCGAGGGGAGCCGCCGCCGCCGAGGUCCGAGAGGAGCCGCCGCGAUCCUCCUCUGCACACAUCAUCGCCUGCGACGCUGCAUAACCACGAUCUCCACUGGCGCCGCGAUGGCUGUGCCCUCCACCCAUAUCCGUCCGCCAUUGGCCCUGUAUUGUCCCUCCCGAUAGGAUCCAGCCUCCACCACUGAGCACGGUGCAACGGGAUCCACCACGGACGAGGGAAAGGCGCUCGCGGGCAUCGUGAUGUGGUCGUCACGUGGCGCGGCACGAUCCAGGCUCUGGAAUGGGUCGACGAUCUUGAGUUCGCCAUAGUGCCGUCCAGAGGCCCCCUUUGUGAGGCCGCCUGCGCAGACGCUUGGUGCACCGCGGCUGGAUCUCCAUCGCCACCAACAACAGGGAUAACGCCAGAGACCAGGCACGGGAUGUGCUGGACAUUGUUCAGUGCCAGGAGGUGAGCAUCACCAUGACAAGGCAUAGCCUUGGGGCAGCGUUGAACGCAUUCGACAUCACUGAGAAUGACUACAGUUGCACGACCGCCGCAGCGCGUUCACUUUUGCCCUGUGCGGCGGCAGCACCGGCUCCAAGAAGCGGUUUAACGCUGCCACGGCCACCGGCCUCUGUGUUCUGUCGCAUCCGCAACGCUCGAGACAUUGUCCGCAACGUUGAUGAAGGUUUGAGGAGUCCUCCUAGAGUUUGAGAAAUUUUAAUGAGAAUUGGUUUGACAGAAACGGGAGGAGGGGCCAUUAGGACAAUUUUUACGUAGAAGAGAUCUCGGGCAGACUGGAACCUAUGGACCAAAACUAUGUGUGGUUUCCUGCUGAUAAAUGUGUUGAAAUAUGUGUGGUUUCUUACACAAAUGGAAGUUAUCAAGCAUGUUCUUUAUGCAACAAAAAUUUACUCCAUCUGUAAAGAUAUAUAAGAGCAUUUAGAUCACUACUUUAGUGAUAUAAAUGCUCUUAUAUUUGUUACGGAGGGAGUAGCAGAUAUAUUUGACUAGAUGUGCCAAACUGUUGUGUCAUCCACUUCACAAAUUAGAGGUCGAUAUGCAGUGGAAGCUUUUGCAGGUCAUUUUCAAAGUUAAGUAUAUCUUCUUUGAUGUGAUGUUUCAUUUGUUCGCGUGCAUCAUGCUAACAUCUGUUGGUUGGUUUCUAAACAGCAGUGCUACUACUGUGAUGCAUAAAUUCAGUGCCACUUCUCAAGCUACUAGACCUAGAAGAAACACAAUGAGGCAGUGCAGCGAUGAUUAUCUAGCCCUCCAAGCUGGAUGCAGCAAGGUUACUCGUGAUCAAAACCAUUGAUGUCAGUUCAAAAACCGGUUCUGAUGCCAAUUGGCUUGAGGAAAUCAGCCAAGAUGCUUUGAAGAAAUUGCACGCUUUCUAUCAGUUCUGCAGACCACACACAAUCUUUGGCACUGUGAGAUUUGUCAUAUUUAGUUCCAAUCUACAUAUGUAGUUUUGAUGCACACUGCUUGAUGCGCUCUUUCUUAUGUUUAUUGUAUUGUUAGAUUAUAGGGAUAACUUCAGUGUCUCUCGUGUCAAUGAAGAGCCUAGAUGAUUUUACUACUACGAUACUAAGAGUUAUUAUAGAUUUUUAUCUGUUACGAGUAAUAUUAUUUGGCAACUAGAUAUAUACCUAGCCAUUUGUGUAUGAAAAUUCUACAUUGUUACUCUUUAAAAAAAAUCAAAAUUUUCACUUUCUGUGCACGCUUUGGCUGCUGCUUUAUGUAUGAAGAUUUACGUGGUAGGGCUGAAUCAGCUAUACGACAUUCAAAUUGAAAAGGUUGUAUUUUAUUCCUUGUGCUUUGAGAAAAUGCACCUUCUUAAUCCUUUAUACUGUACAAUCAUUUAGUAUAAAUUAUACUCUAUUUUGGAGAUCAACAAGCCAGAUUUUCCAUUUGUAGCUGGGCGAUUUUCAGUAGCAACUGGAGUACUCUUAGUGGUCACAUUCCUGAUCAUGAGCUUUAACAUUGGAUCUGUUUCGGAUCGGUGCCACUGACGUGUGCUUUAAUUAUCAGCUUCCUUCUUGGAAGUGUUCCAUUGAGGCUCCGAUGCUCCGGUGGGAACGACACACACUCCUCGCUGCAUCUUGUAUCCUAUUUGUGAGGGCUAUCAUGGUCCAAUUACCUUUCUUUGCACAUAUGCAGGCACUCGGCACAGUACACAUCUUCAGUAGCACUAGAAAUUCAUACUUAUUUACUUGGCUUCCUUCGUCAGUGUUUGAUGAUUCAUUUUGCAGCGACAUGUUCUGAAAAGGCCCUUGGCAGCAACAAAAUGACAGGUGUUUGCAACAUUGUCCAUGUGUUGGUUCUCUGCCGUCAUAACUAUAUUCAACGUGUAUCAGCUUUGCAGUGGAGCAUGUUGUUCGCCGUGGGUCGAACUGAGGCCAAGACUGAUGAGUUGAAGGCGAGAACAAACUACUACUCUACCCAGCAACUUAUACAGAGAUGUGGUCUUGACCCUGCUCAAGCUCAUCCACACCGCUGUCACUAUAGCUGCUUCUGUGAGUCUCUUGUCAUCUUCUUCGCCGCUGGCUUGGUCACCACAUUCGCUUCCCACAGCUGUGGAUGACGACAAGGAGGUGGUGGGUGACAUGGGCAAAUAGUGCUUGGAUGUCCAUGUUGCUUGUCUGCGUGUCUGCAUAGAGAAUUUUCUGUUGUUUGAUUUGGUUUUACUGGAACAAGGAGUGGUGCUGCCCAAGCUCCCCAUUACCCGUUGUAUUGAGUUAAUUGCCGUUGAGGUGCGGACUUGCCAUUUAUUGUGAUUUUAUCAUUCCUCCUUAUUUUAAAUUUUUUUUCCACAAGAUAGUUCUUGCUCAUAGAGAUGCUUUGCAUGGAUUGUUUAAAAAACAAAGAACGUGACAAGUUUGUGCUUUGAAAAUGGGAUACUAUGCUUAGUUCUAGCUUUAA